rnacentral:rRNA from 1 species
UAAUACGAAGGGGGCUAGCGUUGUUCGGAAUUACUGGGCGUAAAGCGCACGUAGGCGGACUGUCAAGUCAGGGGUGAAAUCCCGGGGCUCAACCUCGGAACUGCCUUUGAUACUGUCAGUCUAGAGUCCGGAAGAGGUGGGUGGAAUUCCUAGUGUAGAGGUGAAAUUCGCAGAUAUUAGGAAGAACACCGGUGGCGAAGGCGGCCCACUGGUCCGGAACUGACGCUGAGGUGCGAAAGCGUGGGGAGCAAACAGG